rnacentral:rRNA from 1 species
GGACUACUGGGGUAUCUAAUCCUGUUUGCUACCCACGCUUUCGCGCAUCAGCGUCAGAACCGGUCCAGGUAGCCGCCUUCGCCACUGGUGUUCCUCCCAAUAUCUACGCAUUUCACCGCUACACUGGGAAUUCCACUACCCUCUCCCGGCCUCAAGCCCGACAGUUUCAAAGGCAGUUCCUCAGUUGAGCCGAGGGAUUUCACCUUUGACUUACCGGGCCGCCUACGCGCCCUUUACGCCCAAUAAUUCCGAAUAACGCUCGCCCCCUCCGUAUUACCGCGGCUGCUGGCAC